GACGAACGCUGGCGGCAGGCUUAACACAUGCAAGUCGAACGCGUCCUUCGGGGUGAGUGGCAGACGGGUGAGUAACGCGUGGGAACGUGCCCUUCAGUUCGGGAUAACCCAGGGAAACUUGGGCUAAUACCGGAUACGUGCGAGAGCAGAAAGAUUUAUCGCUGAAGGAUCGGCCCGCGUCUGAUUAGCUAGUUGGUGGGGCAAUGGCCCACCAAGGCGACGAUCAGUAGCUGGUCUGAGAGGAUGAUCAGCCACAUUGGGACUGAGACACGGCCCAAACGCCGACGGGAGGCAGCAGUGGGGAAUAUUGGACAAUGGGCGCAAGCCUGAUCCAGCCAUGCCGCGUGAGUGAUGAAGGCCUUAGGGUUGUAAAGCUCUUUCGUCCGGGACGAUAAUGACGGUACCGGAAGAAGAAGCCCCGGCUAACUUCGUGCCAGCCGCCGCGGUAAAAC
rnacentral:rRNA from 1 species